rnacentral:rRNA from 1 species
GUAGGUGGCAAGCGUUGUCCGGAAUUAUUGGGCGUAAAGCGCGCGCAGGGCGGUCCUUUAAGUCUGAUGUGAAAGCCCACGGCUCAACCGUGGAGGGUCAUUGGAAACUGGGGGGACUUGAGUACAGAAGAGGAAAGCGGAAUUCCAAGUGUAGCGGUGAAAUGCGUAGAGAUUUGGAGGAACACCAGUGGCGAAGGCGGCUUUCUGGUCUGUAACUGACGCUGAGGCGCGAAAGCGUGGGGAGCAAACAGGAUUAGAUACCCUGGUAGUCCGCGCCGUAAACGAUGAGUGCUAAGUGUUAGGGGGUUUCCGCCCCUUAGUGCUGCAGCUAACGCAUUAAGCACUCCGCCUGGGGAGUACGGCCGCAAGGCUG